AUUGAACGCUGGCGGCAGGCCUAACACAUGCAAGUCGAGCGAGCGGCGGACGGGUGAGUAAUGUAUGGGGAACUGCCCGAUAGAGGGGGAUAACUACUGGAAACGGUGGCUAAUACCGCAUACUAUCGGAUGUACCCAGAUGGGAUUAGCUAGUAGGUGGGGUAAAGGCUCACCUAGGCGGCGAUCUCUAGCUGGUCUGAGAGGAUGAACCGCCAACCGUGGACUGAGACACGGACCCAACUCCUACGGGAGGCAGCAGUGGGGAAUAUUCCACAGUGGGCGCAAGCCUGAUACAGCCAUGCCGCGUGUAUGAAGAAGGGCUUCGGGUUGUAAAGUACUUUCAGCGGGGAGGCGUUACCCGCAGAAGAAGCACCGGCUAACUCCGUGCCAGCAGCCGCGGUAAUUC
rnacentral:rRNA from 1 species